AUGGAGUGGGAGGGAGAGGGCAGCGAGCAGGGGAAUCUUCGAGCAGCAGCACACAAGAUCAGCGGCGCCUGGGGUCACCUGGUGGAGGCUCGAGGGUGGCUGGGGCGGCGGCGCUCAGGGUCCAGGGGAGCGCAGCGGGCGAGGCCCUUGGGAUGGCGAUGGGGAAUUUCAGCAGCGGGGAGGAGUCCCGGCGGCACCAUGGUAGCAGGGGCGGGGGGAGCCGCCAAUGGCCACGGCGUCGGUGGCGGCGCGCGGCGGCGAGGGGAGAGGGGGGCGGCCGGCGGGAGGUGGCGAAGCGCUCGAGCCUGGAGGUCAAGAUGA
rnacentral:rRNA from 1 species